rnacentral:lncRNA from 1 species
UUUUGGGCCCGUUUUUAAAUUGGUCCACAUUGAGGUCCAAAGGGUCCAAAAUUAAACUAUGUUUGAUUUCAUCAAAAAUUGAAUGAUUGGGAUUCUUUGAUAUGCCGAAUCUAACCGUGUAUUUAGAUUUUUAAUUUUGGGUCCAGUUUUCAAAUUGGUCUACAUUAAGGUCCACGGGUCCAAAAUUAAACUUAGUUUGAUUUUAAUAAAAAAUGAAUUAUUAGGGUUCUUUGAUAUGCUGAAUCUAAACGUAUAUUUGGAUUUUUGAUUAUGGGCCCAGUUUUCAAGUUGGUCCAAACCGGGGUCCAAAAUUAAAUUUUGUUUAAAUUCAACAAAAAAUGAAUAUAUUGAGUUCUUUGAUAUGCUGAAUCUAACCAUGUAUUUAUAUUUUUGAUUUUUGGACCCCGUUAUCAAAUUGGUCUACAUUGAGGUCAAAAGGGUCCAAAAUUAAACUUUGUUUGGUUUCAUCAAACAGUUAAUUCUUGGGAUUCUUUCAUAUGCUGAAUCUAACCAUGUAUUUCGAUUUUGGAUAUUGGACCAUACUAUGUAAAUUUUAUAUGUUUAAGUUAUUAGACCACAUUCAUUCUGUGUCAGAAACCUAUGCUGUGUCAAAUAUUUAAUCACAAUCCAAAUUCAGAGCUGUAUCAAGCUUGAAUGUUGUGUCCAUACUUGCCCCAACUGUUCAGGAUUCGACCUCUGCUGUCGUAUCAAGCUGCGCCCAGUGGAGCAUUUUAUUGUGUUUUUGCCUUAUAUCUUAAACAUUAUAAAAGAUAGAUAGAAACUUAAAUAAGCAAAAAUGACCAGCAAGACAAGCUUAAGAUCUAUUAUAAUUCAGAC